AGAGUUUGAUCCUGGCUCAGGACGAACGCUGGCGGCACGCUUAACACAUGCAAGUCGAACGAGAGAAGAGAAGCUUGCUUUUCUGAUCUAGUGGCGGACGGGUGAGUAACACGUGAGCAAUCUGCCUUUCAGAGGGGGAUACCGAUUGGAAACGAUCGUUAAUACCGCAUAACAUAAUUGAACCGCAUGAUUUGAUUAUCAAAGAUUUAUCGCUGAAAGAUGAGCUCGCGUCUGAUUAGCUAGUUGGUAAGGUAACGGCUUACCAAGGCGACGAUCAGUAGCCGGACUGAGAGGUUGAUCGGCCACAUUGGGACUGAGACACGGCCCAGACUCCUACGGGAGGCAGCAGUGGGGAAUAUUGCACAAUGGAGGAAACUCUGAUGCAGCGAUGCCGCGUGAGGGAAGAAGGUUUUAGGAUUGUAAACCUCUGUCUUCAGGGACGAAAAAAGACGGUACCUGAGGAGGAAGCUCCGGCUAACUACGUGCCAGCAGCCGCGGUAAUACGUAGGGAGCGAGCGUUGUCCGGAAUUACUGGGUGUAAAGGGAGCGUAGGCGGGAUCGCAAGUCAGAUGUGAAAACUAUGGGCUUAACCCAUAAACUGCAUUUGAAACUGUGGUUCUUGAGUGAAGUAGAGGUAAGCGGAAUUCCUAGUGUAGCGGUGAAAUGCGUAGAUAUUAGGAGGAACACCAGUGGCGAAGGCGGCUUACUGGACGAUUACUGACGCUGAGGCUCGAAAGCGUGGGGAGCAAACAGGAUUAGAUACCCUGGUAGUCCACGCCGUAAACG
rnacentral:rRNA from 1 species